GAUGGAGAUGGAUGAGCACCCGGAUAUCCUGCCCACCCAGGGGCAAGGCAACAUCAUCAUUACUAAGUAUGAGCAGGGACGCUGAGCUGGGGCAGCAGUGGACACAGAGCAUGAGCGUGUUGACAUCUGGAAAUUCACCAGUCGUCUCUGGGUUGUGUGUGAGACAGAGCUGCCCGUGUCAGUGCCCUGGAGGUGAAGGGAAGAGCCUGUGCCUGCUGCGUGGGAGACUGGUCCAGGGACAGGGAAUCAGGAGUGGUUGGUGAGACAGAGGGGGUGGCCUGCGGGCCCGGGCGGUGGUAAGUGGGCCAGGGCUGUCCCUGGGAGGGGCGGCCUUUCCUGACGGACUCUGUUCCCAUGAGCAUUUGACCAAAACCCAAAUCAAGAACCACAGUCUUGGCUCAGAGGUCACUGCCUGUUUGUACCAAGUCCCCAGCUAAGGGCCAGGACCUGACCAAAACUCGGGGUGUCUGUGGCCUGAGGAUGGUGUGUCCUGGCAUGACCAGUCCAGACCACCAGCUCCAGUUAGUUCAGAGGGUCUCAGCCCCCGGGCUCUGCUCUUUCCUUGCUCCUUCAGGGCCCCAAAGCCCAGGACCCAGCAUCCAUGGGCCGCUGCCGGAGGCCUGGCAGCUCCGCUAACUCCAUCAUGGCUCAUUUGACAGCAAAGGUGUCAGGAAAUAAAAUGUACUGACAAGUGGCUGAAGAUGCUUGGAGACUGGCCAAAAUAUAAGAACAGCAAGAAGGUGACAUGGCGGUUGGGCCUGGUAGCUCAGGCCUGUAACCCCAGCACUUCGGGAGGCUGAGGUGGGCGGAUCACCUGAGGUCAGGAGUUCGAGACCAUCCUGGCCAACAUGGCGAAACCCCGUCUCUACUAAACAUGCAAAAAUUAGCUGGGCACGGUGGCGGGCACCUGUAAUCCCAGCUACUCAGGAGGCUGAGGCACGAGAAUUGCUUGAACCCAGGCAGUGGAGGUUGCAGUGAGCCAAGAUCGCACCACUGAACUCCAGCCUGGGCGACAAGAGGGAGACUUCAUCUCAAAAGGAAAAGAAGCUGUCUCGAAGCAGGUACAAAGGCAUUCCCCUGGUGUGAGGCCAGGCGUGGGCACUUCUGCUAGACAUUGACAAAGUCAAGUCCCAGAACCCAGGAAAUACAAG
rnacentral:lncRNA from 1 species